rnacentral:rRNA from 1 species
CCUACGGGUGGCUGCAGUGGGGAAUAUUGGACAAUGGGCGAAAGCCUGAUCCAGCCAUGCCGCGUGUGUGAAGAAGGCCUUCGGGUUGUAAAGCACUUUCAGUGGGGAAGAAAGCCUUGGGGCUAAUACCCUCGAGGAAGGACAUCACCCACAGAAGAAGCACCGGCUAACUCCGUGCCAGCAGCCGCGGUAAUACGGAGGGUGCGAGCGUUAAUCGGAAUUACUGGGCGUAAAGCGCGCGUAGGCGGUCUGAUAAGCCGGUUGUGAAAGCCCCGGGCUCAACCUGGGAACGGCAUCCGGAACUGUCAGGCUAGAGUGCAGGAGAGGAAGGUAGAAUUCCCGGUGUAACGGUGAAAUGCGUAGAGAUCGGGAGGAAUACCAGUGGCGAAGGCGGCCUUCUGGACUGACACUGACGCUGAGGUGCGAAAGCGUGGGUAGCAAACAGGAUUAGAUACUAGUAGUC